CAUGUAAGUCUGUUGCAACCCCUGUUCUCUCAGCACUUUGACGGUGCGCAUCGCCGUGUGGGGCCGCCACCGACCACCCUCUCCCCGCACCGCAAUUUGAGAUAGAGAGGGCCGGAGAAACAAAGGGACCCGCGACGACGGAGGCAAGGCGUCGGUCGCGCGCGGCUCCUCUCGCCGUUCCUUCCGCGGCUCCCGCGACGACGGAGGCACGGCGCCGGUCGCGCGCGGCUCCGUCGAUCCCGCCCAUCUGCGUUGAGCCUGUGUCCUAGGGUUGCUGCCGCUGCACUCCAGCGAUCCGGCCACCACCACGGGCCGGCGGCGACGCAGGCCAUGGAGGGUUAUCACUGCCGUCGUCCUCCAUGUGCAGAUCUCUCCAUGGGGAGCCCUCCGUCCCGGUGUCCUCCAUGGGCCGCUCCGCCGCAACAGGCCUCCGACGACCUCGCCGGGAACAACUCCACCCCUGCGCGGCCGAUGUGAUGGCUGCAGAUCUUCAGGCCUAGGAGCGGCCUUUCUUCACUUUCCAGUUGCAAGGGAAAAAGCUGUGGAGAAUCGAACGGAUUUAGUCACUGCAGCUACCAUACUGAUCUAUAGAAAUUAUAUGUUAUAGAAAUACUAGAUUAGGGUUGAGUGGAUGCAAGUUUUAUUGUUUCCCCCGAUUUCAUUUUAGCCACUGUCAGCUUCUGCAAGAAUACAAUGAAGUCUCUUUCAGUUUUCUCACUGCAUGGUCUGAUCUUUGUUCGCAUUUUCUUUGGCUGUCGUUGGAAAAUGGAAUAAGAUGAUGGACCAAGUUAUGUGGUUACAUUGCAUAAUUGCUCUGAAGCUCACAAGAAAUUUUAGUAACCUGCAUUUGCUCUGCUCAAUAAACCGCUGUGUUGUGGAGUUUCUUA